ensembl:lncRNA
CUUAAGACUCUCGAGUUCAUAUUCUUGGGAAGUUAAUUUUAUACGGGAGGUGUACAUGAAAAGAGGAAGAGUGUAAAGGAUAAAGCUAAAGAGAUGAAAAGACUUCUGGAAAAACUGGAUGUGACCAGCCUCGAGCGGAGCGACUCUAGAUCACAUUUCUAAUGGCUGGCAGCUCCCCAUCCCCAAGGGCUUUUCACUGAGUAAGGAAUUGCUUCCACCUCUCUCAGCCUGCCUUCAGUUUCCUGUCUGCGAUCAGAGGUUGCAGGGUGGGACUUGAUCCUCAGGUAUGAAGACACUUGGUGAUGGAGAAUGGUGAAAGACACUGUGAGUUUUUA